GAAAAUUCGAUGAAAAAGAGAGUAGCAUGAAUUAAUUUUAUAGAGAGUUUAGGAUGGUGGAAUCUAAACAUUGAUGUUUAUGUGAAAAGAACUUUGGAGAAGACUGCAGGAAACUAAGUAUUGCAGUAGGUUGCUCGCCUUAAGAGAUUGAGUGGGUAAGUUUAUUACCAAUAAGAGUGGUAACGCGGAGAUAGUUCGCCUCUUGG
rnacentral:ncRNA from 1 species